ACUAGACCCUGGCUGCUCGUCUGAGAUUUAGCACUGAGGCUCCUUUUUCUGUUGAUGGCUCCAACAUUUUUCUGAAAGAAGAGAAAAAAAACUGAAGGACUUCGCCACAUGAAAAUUUCAGGGCUGAAAAUCAAAUUUAAACACAAUUUCUGAAGAGCAACAGGAAUGUGGCCUCGUGGUUGAGUCCCUUUCAUAAAACCUUACAGCCCAGAUUAACCCUUUGAACCUCAGACUGCCUUUAAGUUUCCAUUUCCUUCAAUUACAGGCUUAUGCAUGUCAUAUAUUGUUAUUGUCAGGACAAGCUGGACUAUCGGAAGUUCAUAUUUUAGUUUCCCAGCUGCUAUCAAUAUGCAUGAGAUGCUCUGAGUAAAGUCAACAAACUUACAAAUAAAUUAUUCACAGAUUGGCUCACUGCA